AAGUCGAACGGGGAAGUUUGUUUCGGUCAGAAUACCUAGUGGCGAACGGGUGAGUAACGCGUAGGCAACCUGCCCUCCGGCCGGGGACGAACACUCCGAAAGGGGUGCUAAUACCGGAUACGAAGAUAAUACCGCAUGGUGAUAUUUUGAAAGAUGGCCUCUAUUUAUAAGCUAUCGCCGGGGGAUGGGCCUGCGUCCGAUUAGCUGGUUGGUGGGGUAACGGCCUACCAAGGCGACGAUCGGUAGCCGGUCUGAGAGGAUGAACGGCCACAUUGGGACUGAGACACGGCCCAGACUCCUACGGGAGGCAGCAGUGGGGAAUCUUCCGCAAUGGGCGCAAGCCUGACGGAGCAACGCCGCGUGAGUGAGGAAGUUCUUCGGAACGUAAAGCUCUGUUGUUCCUGACGAACCUCCCCUUUAUCAACAACGGAGGGGACUGACGGUAGGGAACGAGGAAGCCACGGCUAACUACGUGCCAGCCGCAGC
rnacentral:rRNA from 1 species